rnacentral:rRNA from 1 species
GAUCAACGCUGGCGGCGUGCAUAACACAUGCAAGUCGAACGAAGUGGCGGACGGGUGAGUAACGCGUGAGUAACCUGCCUUACAGCAGGGGAUAGCCUUUUGAAACGAAGAAUAAUAACCUAUACUCUAAGAUGGACUUGCGUCUGAUUAGGAAGUUGGUUGGAUAACGGCCCACCAAGCCAGCGAUCAGUAGCCGGCGUGAGAGAGUGUACGGCCACAUUGGGACUGAGACACGGCCCAGACUCUACGGGAGGCAGCAGUGGUGAAUUUUGCACAAUGGGGGAAACCCUGAUGCAGCGACGCCUCGUGAUUUAGAAGGCCUUCGGGUUGUAAAAAUCUUUUCUAUGGGAAGCAGUACCAUAGGAAUAAGGACCGGCUAAGUACGUGCCAGCAGCCGCGGUAAUUC